UUGACGUUGGAUUACCAGUGAGCGGCGGACGGGUGAGUAACACGUGGGCAACCUGCCCUGAAGCGGGGGAUAACAUCUGGAAACAGGUGCUAAUACCGCAUGACACAUAGAGAUCGCAUGGUUUUUAUGUCAAAGAUUUAUCGCUGAAAGAUGGCCUCGCGUCUGAUUAGCUAGUUGGUGAGGUAACGGCCCACCAAGGCGACGAUCAGUAGCCGGACUGAGAGGUUGACCGGCCACAUUGGGACUGAGAUACGGCCCAGACUCC
rnacentral:rRNA from 1 species